GGCUGAAUGGCAGAAGAUGAAGGGACUGGUUUGGACCUAGUGUUGCUGCUAAUUGCUCCUCACUUUACCUUUUGUUCUUCUGUAGAGAUUGUGGUCUUAGUUGGUCAGGGUCACUCAUAGACCCUGACCAGGAUGUUACUCUCGAUCAGGGGUGAGUAGGUGGUGCCCAGGUUGCUUCAGUUACAUUUGAAUGAUAUUCAAAUGGGUGCUAUGAUGGUGGUGAGAAGAGUGUUCUGUCUCAGGACUUAUUGUUACAUUGUUCAGUAUGUAUCAAACAAUUAACUCUUCGUAUUACUGAGUGCCAUUGAAGUAGCUAGGUUUUAAUAAGGUUGCUGACCCCUGUUCUGGAUGGUAGUCUACUUCUAGCUGCUAAUUUUCAGACCAUUGACCAGAGCAUGUUUAGGGUAAUAUUUGAUGUGUUUACUAUACAUUUGUUUGAAUAAAUCUUUGUUUUUCAGGCUAGUGAUUUAGCUGCUGUGAAGUUAUUUGAUUUAAAUGUUCAUUCAGCCCAUAGAUGUGUUUAAAAUGUUAAAUUAAAACUCAUUAAUUCUGUCAAACUGAUAGUAUUUUGGCUUAAAUUGCUCUACUGUGGCAGCUAGAUGGUCUGUUGGGGGACCUCCCACCAGAGGAAUUUUGUAGUUCUGUCCUCUGGAAAAUGUAUUUGUUUUAAUGAACAAGGUUAUGUUAGCAGGUUUAUAAAUAUGCUGGUUUAUUCUAGUAGUCAUACAGAUUAGAUUGUGUGUUUAGGGUCUUUAAUAGAAAAUAUACUUGGCAAAGAGACAACCCAAGACUUAGGUUGUUAAUAUUUACAUUUUCUUUUAAAUUGUAUUGAAAAGUAAUUGCUCCUCACUUUACCUUCUGUUGAUGUGUCGACAGUUUAAUCUCAGACUUGGUUAAACUAAGGAGGAUUUUAUUUUUUAUCCUGUCUUGUAGUGGAUCCAAACAAGUUCUGGAAAUCUGGCAUCCUGGAGUUUGGGGUAGAAGUGGCCCAGGAGGAUCCACCCAUUGGCUGCCAGAUCUCUUCAGGAUUCUGUGGACCAAGUCUGGAGAAGAUGGAUUCUGGUAGAGUGGACCAGGGAUGUUGGACUGGACCUGGUGAAGCACGGCUGAAGCAGACUCCUGAGCAGAGUACCAUUAGAAGACAGCCAAGAUGAUCCAGACCUACAGCACCUCCUUCUGGACUCCUUCAUGUUUAGGUGCUGCCCCUGGACCCAGACUGACCACUGAUGACUGGAGUUUAAUACCUGCUCAGCUGAAUAAGGAUUGUUAUGUUUUUAUUUUUUUCUCAGCUAUGUUAGUUUCACUGUAGAGGCUGUGGUCUUAGUUGGUCAGGGUCACUAAUGGACCCUGACCAGGAUGUUACUCAAUAUGUUAGUCUGCUUGUAGCUGCAAAUUUUCAGACCAGUGACCAGAGCACAUGUUUAGGGUCAUUUUUAUGAGAAGUUGACUGUAACAGUUGUUUCAAUAUUUAUCAUUGUUUUCCAUGCUAGUGAUUUAGCUGCUGUGAAGUUAUUUUUAAUUAAAUGUUCAUUUAGCCCAUAGAUGUGUUUAAAAUGUUGAUUUAAAACUCAUUAAUUCUUUAAAACUAACAGUAUUAUGACUUAAAUUGCCUUUAAUGUCAUUGAACAGUUUGUAUUAUCAGAACUGGCUUGUCUCCCUCUGCCAAGUCAAUUUUCUACUAAAGACUUGUAAGCCCUACUGUGGCAGCUAGAUGGUGUUUUAGAUGGUCUCCCACCAGAGGAAUUUUGUAAUUUUGUCCUCUGGAAAAUGUUUUGUUUAACUGGACAGGGUUAAAAUAGCAAUUGUAUAAUUAUGCUGGUUUAUUCUAGUAGGCAUACAGAUUAGAUUGCACAUUACCACUGAUUUAUAAUCCUCAAAGUGUCAGUUUGUUGUGUAGAAAACUAAUUUGACUCUUGUGUUUAGCCCCCCCUAAAAAGCCUGGGUCUUGUCAUCAGGACUCAGACUGACCACAGAUGACAGGAGUUUAAUACCUGCUCAGCUGCAUAAGGAUUGUUGUGGUUUUAAUUUCUCUUUGGCUGCUUGUUAGUUUCACUGAUGUAGAGAUUGUGGUCUUAGUUGGUCAGGGUCACUAAUAGACCCUGCCCAGGAUGUUACUCUAGAUCAGUGGUCAGUAUGUGGUGCCCGGGUUCCUUCAGUUACAUUUGAAUUGUAUUCAAAUGGGUGCAAUGAUGUUGAUGAGAAGAGUGUUCUGUCUCAGAACUUAUUGUUACAUUGUUCACUAAAUAUGCAUCAAACUAGUAGCUCUUCAUAUUACUGAGUGCUGUUGAAGUAGCUCGGUUUUAAUAAGGUUGCUGACCCCUGUUCUGGAUGUUAGUCUGCUUGUAGCUGCUAAUUUUCAGACCAGUGACCAGAGCACAUGUUUAGAGUCUUUUUUUUGUGAGAAGUUGACUAUAACAGUUGUUUCAAUAUUUCUUUGUAU